rnacentral:rRNA from 1 species
AGUGUAGGCGGCUUCGUAAGUCGGAUGUGAAAGCCCUGGGCUUAACCUGGGAAUUGCAUUCGAUACUGCGCGGCUAGAGUCUGAUAGAGGGAAGUGGAAUUCCAGGUGUAGCGGUGAAAUGCGUAGAUACCUGGAGGAACACCAGUGGCGAAGGCGGCUUCCUGGAUCAAGACUGACGCUGAGGCUCGAAAGCGUGGGGAGCAAACA